UGGGACGUACCAUUUUCUCUUUACCUUCUUUCAUUUUCUCUUUACCUUCUUCCUCUUCUUCUGAAAAAAUCUCGUUAAGCUAAACCUCCUCCUCCGUUCGUGAUAUUCCCCUCUGAGAUCUCAAAUUCGUUCACAGUGAAGCGACACUUGAUUCUCAGGGUUUGCAAAUUACAAGAGAACACUUUCCGCGUCUUCAUCGAUUUUGGGUUUGCAAAUUACAGAUGCUCAUCAUGCAAACUUUGGGUGCAUAUUUCUGGUGGUGGCAGUUUUCCUCUAGCGAGCGUUACUAACUUAGCUGAUCCUUUCCCUUUACCAUCUGUUGAUAUCAAUAAUCUAAAGGUGAGAAGAAGCUAUCGAAAGGUGAUCGUUCCUGAUAAGUAGAAAGAAGGUGCUAUCCAAGAAACAUCUCCUAUCUAAGAAAAACAGUAAUCGAGUUUCCAUCUCACGUUCUGUUACUACAGAGACUCCCAACUGCAUCACUGCUAAAGAUUGCUCAACUUAUCCAGUUCAAACAUUAUAAUUCAGGUGAGUAUGUUGUUCGAGAAGGAGAAAUUAAGUAUGGAAUUUACUUCAUCUGGCAGGAUUGCUUGAGAUGUGAGCAUCGGGUGUUGAAGAAGUUAGCGGAUAUAGAAAAUAGGGCCAAACAAAAGGUUCAACAGUGACACACUGGCGGCUCCAAGCCACAUAUGAAAUCCAACAAAGAGGGUCAAAUGGAAAUGCGGCAGGAUACUGGCAGUUCAAUGGAAAUUCUGGUGCCAUGUGCCAACGGGAGGCGAACUUAUUUAGGUUAGAUACUACGGUUUCGUUCUUCAUGUAUGUCGAUCGAUGACUUUGUUGCAGAAUUUCGAUGAUGGUAGAUGGUAGGAAUUAAAUGCUACGGAGAAAUAAAGUUCGUUCUGGAGCAGAAGCAAUCAAAUACAUUUCCAGUGCAUAUGGUGCACCGUUUACGUCCAAGUUGUGUACAACUAUGUACAUCACCUGUUGAUUGUUUUUGCGGAGUUUUUUCUUUUGUUGUAUGAGACUUGUUAUUCUAAAUGUUUGAAUCAUUUUUG